rnacentral:ncRNA from 2 species
CAUUUAUCCUCUGGAGGGAGCCUUUAGAAAGGCCAAUGAAGGGGAAAUCCCGGAAGCCCACGGGCUAAGCGGUAAUCUCUCAGGUAAAGGGACAGGGGAGUCUCG